AGUGAAAAACUUAAAACUCUAAGGACUUGACGGUGUCCUACCCGUACUAGAGGAGCCUGUCCUAUAAUCGAUACCCCACGUUCCACCUCACCCCUCCUCGCUCAGCCUAUAUACCGCCGUCGUCAGCUUACACUGUGAAUACACCAUAGUAAGCAAAACCACCACACAUAAAAACGACAGGUCAAGGUGUAGCUAAUGGAGGGGCAGCGAUGGGCUACAUUUUCUUACUAGAAAACACCACCCGCACCAUGAAAUUGCUACAAGGCGGAUUUAGAAGUAAACUUGGCAAGACAUGCCAAUUUGAAGCCCUAGGACGC
rnacentral:rRNA from 1 species